GAUGAACGCUGGCGGUAUGCUUUACACAUGCAAGUCGUACGAGAGUUUUUAACUCUAGUGGCGGACGGGUGAGUAACACGUAAGAAUUUGCCUUUAGGAGGGGGAUAACAACUGGAAACGGUUGCUAAUACCCCAUAUGCUUUCGAGUGAAAUGGAUUUCCGCCUAAAGAGAAGCUUGCGGCUGAUUAGCUUGUUGGUGAGGUAAUGGCUCACCAAGGCGACGAUCAGUAUCUGGUUUGAGAGGACGAUCAGACACACUGGAACUGAGACACGGUCCAGACUCCUACGGGAGGCAGCAGUGGGGAAUUUUCCGCAAUGGGCGAAAGCCUGACGGAGCAAUACCGCGUGAGGGAUGAAAGCCUAUGGGUUGUAAACCUCUUUUUUCAGGGAGGAACAAAAUGACGUGUACCUGAAGAAUAAGCAUCGGCUAACUCCGUGCCAGCAGCCGCGGUAAGACGGGGGAUGCAAGUGUUAUCCGGAAUCACUGGGCGUAAAGCGUCUGUAGGUGGUUAAGUAAGUCAACUGUUAAAUCUUGAGGCUUAACCUCAAAAUCGCAGUCGAAACUGCUUGACUAGAGUAU
rnacentral:rRNA from 1 species